rnacentral:rRNA from 1 species
GGCGUAGGGCGCGAGCGUUGUCCGGAAUUAUUGGGCGUAAAGAGCUCGUAGGCGGUGUGUCGCGUCGGCCGUGAAAACCUGCAGCUUAACUGUGGGCGUGCGGUCGAUACGGGCAUCACUGGAGUUCGGCAGGGGAGACUGGAAUUCCUGGUGUAGCGGUGAAAUGCGCAGAUAUCAGGAGGAACACCGGUGGCGAAGGCGGGUCUCUGGGCCGAUACUAACGCUGAGGAGCGAAAGCAUGGGGAGCGAACAGG